GAUGAACGCUGGCGGCGUGCCUAAUACAUGCGAGUAGAACGCUGAAGGAGGAGCUUGCUCUUCUGGAUGAGUUGCGAACGGGUGAGUAACGCGUAGGUAACCUGCCUGGUAGCGGGGGAUAACUAUUGGAAACGAUAGCUAAUACCGCAUGACAACAGUUAUUGCAUGAUAACUGUUUAAAAGGGGCAACUGCUCCACUACCAGAUGGACCUGCGUUGUAUUAGCUAGUUGGUGAGGUAACGGCUCACCAAGGCGACGAUACAUAGCCGACCUGAGAGGGUGAUCGGCCACACUGGGACUGAGACACGGCCCAGACUCCUACGGGAGGCAGCAGUAGGGAAUCUUCGGCAAUGGACGGAAGUCUGACCGAGCAACGCCGCGUGAGUGAAGAAGGUUUUCGGAUCGUAAAGCUCUGUUGCAAGAGAAGAACGAGUGUGAGAGUGGAAAGUUCACACUGUGACGGUAUCUUACCAGAAAGGGACGGCUAACUACGUG
rnacentral:rRNA from 1 species